AGCAGCCGCGGUAAUUCCAGCUCCAAUAGCGUAUAUUAAAGUUGUUGCAGUUAAAAAGCUCGUAGUUGAAUUUCGGGGUUAGUAGGUUGGUCAUGCCUCCGGUAUGUACUGAAUCUCACUGAUUCCUCCUUCCUUAUGAACCGUAAUGCCAUUAAUUUGGUGUUGCGGGGAAUUUGGACUGUUACUUUGAAAAAUUAGAGUGUUUAAAGCAGGCUAACGCUUGAAUACAUUAGCAUGGAAUAAUGAAAUAGGACGUUCGAUCUUAUUUUGUUGGUUUCUAGGAUUGACGUAAUGAUUAAUAGGGAUAGUUGGGGGCAUUAGUAUUCAAUUGUCAGAGGUGAAAUUCUUGGAUUUAUUGAAGACUAACUACUGCGAAAGCAUUUGCCAAGGAUGUUUUCAUUAAUCAAGAACGAAAGUUAGGGGAUCGAAGACGAUCAGAUACCGUCGUAG
rnacentral:rRNA from 1 species